UAAACAGCACCUGCAGAAUAGGGAUUUAUGGAUUUGCACGUAAGUGAUUAAUUAGACGCCACGGCCGCGUCUCCUCUCGCUGCACGCUGAUUACUUCUGGUUACGCCAGAUACAGCCAAACGGAGGCAGGCUGACGAACGACGAGUCUCCUUCGCUGCGCUCUGCCGCGGCGGCACGAUCCGCAUGAUGUCCUCCCUCUUUCGCUCGACGGGCUGACCUCUUGGGAUGGAUGGAUGGAUGGAUGGACUGACUCCAUGACGAGAGCAUAGUCCGUGAUGGGUGGAUGAUCUACAAUCCAUAAUUUUAUCUCCAAAUACCACUAGACUGUAUACUGUACUAGUUAGAACUUGAAUUUUCAUGUAGCAAUUGUAUGAUUUUAUAACGGUUCUCAUAGCUGUAAUAAUUUUAUUCCACAUUUUUCAUUUUUAAUGCCUUUUGUCCAGUUCCUAGAGUAAAUUGAUUGUUUUUUAAAGGGUUUGUUCAUCUUUGUCAGACAUGAAUCAUAAGCCUUCAUGCAUAUGUAUAAACAUCCUGAAUAUUUAAUAUGUAAUGGGUGACUGAAUUGAAAAAGUGCUUUUCUUUAGACACGGUAAAUACCGCAAACCCCACAAAAGUUACUUUGAAAUAAAUCAGUUGUAUAGCACUGCAAGGGGACCUAGUU